GUAAAGUCAGCUAACCCAAGCUAUCGGGCCCAUACCCCGAAAAUGUUGGUUUAAAUCCUUCCUCUACU
rnacentral:tRNA from 1 species